rnacentral:rRNA from 1 species
UACAGAGGUCCCAAGCGUUGUUCGGUUUUACUGGGCGUAAAGGGUGCGUAGGUGGCGGGGUAAGUCUGGUGUGAAAGCUCCGAGCUCAACUCGGAAAAGCAUUGGAAACUAUCCCGCUUGAGGGUCGGAGGGGAGACUGGAAUUCCCGGUGUAGCGGUGAAAUGCGCAGAUAUCAGGAGGAACACCGGUGGCGAAGGCGGAUCUCUGGGCCUUACCUGACGCUGAGGCGCGAAAGCUAGGGGAGCGAACAGG